GAUGAACGCUGGCGGCGUGCUUAACACAUGCAAGUCGAACGCUGAAGCACCAGCUUGCUGGUGCGGAUGAGUGGCGAACGGGUGAGUAAUACGUGAGUAACCUGCCCUUGACUCUGGGAUAAGCCCGGGAAACUGGGUCUAAUACUGGAUGCUACAUGUCACCGCAUGGUGGUGUGUGGAAAGGGUUUACUGGUCUUGGAUGGGCUCACGGCCUAUCAGCUUGUUGGUGAGGUAAUGGCUCACCAAGGCGACGACGGGUAGCCGGCCUGAGAGGGUGACCGGCCACACUGGGACUGAGACACGGCCCAGACUCCUACGGGAGGCAGCAGUGGGGAAUAUUGCACAAUGGGCGAAAGCCUGAUGCAGCGACGCCGCGUGAGGGAUGACGGCCUUCGGGUUGUAAACCUCUUUCAGCAGGGAAGAAGCCACAAGUGACGGUACCUGCGGAAGAAGCGCCGGCUAACUACGUGCCAGCCGCCGCCGUAAAAC
rnacentral:rRNA from 1 species